rnacentral:rRNA from 1 species
UACGUAGGUGGCGAGCGUUGUCCGGAUUUACUGGGCGUAAAGAGCGCGCAGGCGGUCGUGCAAGUCGCGUGUGAAAGCCCCCGGCUCAACUGGGGAGGGUCACGCGAUACUGCUCGACUCGAAGGCAGGAGAGGGAAGUGGAAUUCCCGGUGUAGUGGUGAAAUGCGUAGAUAUCGGAAGGAACACCAGUGGCGAAAGCGGCUUCCUGGUCCAGCACCGACGUUCAGGCACGAAAGCGUGGGGAGCAAACAGG